AUUGAACGCUAGCGGGAUGCCUUACACAUGCAAGUCGAACGGCAGCACGGACUUCGGUCUGGUGGCGAGUGGCGAACGGGUGAGUAAUGUAUCGGAACGUGCCCAGUAGCGGGGGAUAACUACGCGAAAGCGUAGCUAAUACCGCAUACGCCCUUAGGGGGAAAGCAGGGGAUCGCAAGACCUUGCACUAUUGGAGCGGCCGAUAUCGGAUUAGCUAGUUGGUGAGGUAAUGGCUCACCAAGGCCGCGAUCCGUAGCUGGUUUGAGAGGACGACCAGCCACUCUGGGACUGAGACACGGCCCAGACUCCUACGGGAGGCAGCAGUGGGGAAUUUUGGACAAUGGGGGAAACCCUGAUCCAGCCAUCCCGCGUGUGCGAUGAAGGCCUUCGGGUUGUAAAGCACUUUUGGCAGGAAAGAAACGGCGCGUGCUAAUACCAUGCGCAACUGACGGUACCUGCAGAAUAAGCACCGGCUAACUACGUGCCAGCCGCCGCCGUAA
rnacentral:rRNA from 1 species